rnacentral:rRNA from 1 species
GAUGAACGCUGGCGGCGUGCCUAAUACAUGCAAGUCGAGCGGACGGACGCGACGCUUGCUUCUCUGAUGUUAGGGGCGGACGGGAGAGUAACACGUGGAUCACCUACCUAUAAGACUGGGAUAACUUGGGGAAACCGGCGCUAAUACCGUAGGAUAUUUUGAACCGCAUGGGUCAAAAGUGAGAGUCGGUCUUGCGGUCACUUAUAGAUGGAUCCGCGCUGCAUUAGCUAGUUGUUAAGGUAACGGCCUACCAAGGCAACGAUGCGUAGCCGAACUGAGUGGCGGAUCGGCCACACUGGAACUGGGACACGGUCCAGACUACUACGGGAGGCAGCAGUAGGGAAUCUUCGGCAAUGGGCGAAAGCCUGACGGAGCAACGCCGCGUGAGUGAUGAAGGUCUUCGGAUCGUAAAACUCUGUUAUUAGGGAAGAACAGAUGUCUACGUAGCUGUGCACAUCGUGACGGUAACUAAUCAGAAAGCCACGGCUAACUACGUG